rnacentral:misc_RNA from 1 species
GAUGAAGAACGUAGCAAAAUGUGAUACUUGGUGUGAAUUGCAGAAUCCCGUGAACCAUCGAGUUUUUGAACGCAAGUUGCGCCCGAAGCCUUUUGGCCGAGGGCACGUCUGCCUGGGCGUCACGCAUCGCGUCGCCCCCCACAAUUCUCCGUAAAGGGAACAUGUGUUUUGGGGGCGGAUAUUGGUCUCCCGUGCUCAUGGCGUGGUUGGCCGAAAUAGGAGUCCUUUCGAUGGACGCACGAACUAGUGGUGGUCGUAAAAACCCUCGUCUUUUGUUUCGUGCUGUUGCUCGCAAGGUAAACUCUUUAAAAACCCCAAUGUGUCGUCUCUUGACGACGCUUCGACCGCGACCCCAGGUCAGGCGGGACUACCCGCUGAGUUUAAGCAUAUCAAUAAGCGGAGGA